GUUGUAGUGAAGGAUGUGCCUGUUAAUACAGAGGAUACAGAUGUUAUUAUAGAUAAUGGUUACUUUGAGAAUCGGCACUCCUUCUUAAGCUUCUGUCAAGGAAAUCAUUAUCAGUUUGAUACCCUUCGCCAUGUCAAGCAUUCCUCAAUGAUGAUCCUUUAUCAUCUCCAUAAUCCAACCAAGCAAAGUGUUGGGACCAGCUGCUGCAUUUGCCAUCAGGAUAUUGUGGUGAAUCAGGGAUGGCACUGUGAGAUCUGUCCAAGGUUUGAUGCUUGUGAUGGAUGCUAUCAUAGAAAAGGUGAUGAUUGUCAUAUUCAUAAAUUAAGUCAAUGUUCAUCCGUUGUAAGUUGUGGGUCAAAGAAUGGACAGACUCAGCAGCAGAAAUCUACGCAGAUGAGGGAAAUACUGGAUGUUCUGAUGCAUGCCUCCCAAUGUAAUGUGACCAAAAGCAGCAUCUGCUCCUAUCCAAACUGCGUUCUGGUAAGAAGGCUUUUCCACCAUUCACAUCAAUGCAAUCUUCGGUUUGCUGGGGGCUGUCUGACCUGUCAGAAAACCUGGAUGCUGCUGGCAUUGCACUCAAAAGAUUGCAGAGAUUGUAAUUGCCGGGUACCACGCUGCAUGGAUCUUAAGAAGCAUGCUGAAAUGCUUGCGUUGUAGUCUGAAACCCAGCAAAGGGCUGAGUAGUAAGGUCAUUAAGAGGUUUCUGAGAAGAUAUCGUUAUGGAUGGAUCAUCAACAUUCAACAGCAGCCAUUUGUACAGUUAAACACAGUGACAAUUGUACAGUCAAACACAGCAACAAUUGUACUGUAAGCUAGUGGGCUAGACAAAAGUAUGCUUAAGCUACAGAAUGCAAAGAGUUUAAGACAGAAGAUAUUGUUACGGGUUAGACAGAAGUAUGUGUAGUGAACAUUUAUGCCGGUUGUGCGCUAAGAGUUCCAUUUUGUUUUCACUAGGACAUCCUUCUUUCUGUAAAGGUAACAGCCGUCUUUGGGGCUGUUAUGGGAAAUACAAUCUUCUUCUUCUUGAAUAUAGCCUAUUCAGCAGGUAUGACAGCAGAUAAAAGUCCCUAUUCAUGAUUUGGUUCAGGUGUUGAGGGGUUGUAGGGUUAGCUUCAGAAAGAAUUACAGCAACAACCCCGGGCUGGCUAAAAAUGUUUUGUGUUCAAUCGAAGUCUGAGGACAGCCAAGUUAAGUGGAAGACCAAAAGAUGCUAUGAAACCCCUAGGGCACCUGGAGGCAGGUCUACCGUUGAAGAGAUCCAUUUUAUCAUAUGAACAGUGAGAAAUCUACUGAUUUCCAUCUUGAAAAUGUUAACAGUUGCUUAAAUCCUAAUCCU